rnacentral:rRNA from 1 species
UACGUAGGGUCCGAGCGUUGUCCGGAAUUAUUGGGCGUAAAGGGCUCGUAGGCGGUCCGUCACGUCGGGAGUGAAAACUCGGAGCUCAACUCCGAGCCUGCUUCCGAUACGGGCAGACUAGAGGUAGGCAGGGGAGAGCGGAACUCCUGGUGUAGCGGUGGAAUGCGCAGAUAUCAGGAAGAACACCGGUGGCGAAGGCGGCUCUCUGGGCCUUACCUGACGCUGAGGCGCGAAAGCUAGGGGAGCGAACAGG